AUUCCAUUGGUCGUUUUAUAAGAUCCUGGUGAUAGUUUGAUGAAUUUCCCGUAACUUGAACGAGAAAAAAAACACUCAUGCUAACUUAAUUACACUCCUUUUCGACCUUUGGAAAUAAUUAAAAUGAGAGAAGCGUUUGAACGUACGAUAGGAGUUGUUGGCAUUUCCAUCUGAAGUUUUAUGAUCCUGGUGGUAGUUUGAUCAUUCUUCCGUAACAUGAACGAGAAAAAAACAACACUCAUGCUAACUUAACUAACCUCCUUUGCGAUCUUCAGAAAUAGUUGAUGUGAGAGGCAGAAGUGUUUGAGAAUACUGUCGGACUCGUGGGCAUUUCCAUAGGUAGUUUGAUAGGUCUCCCGUAACAUGAAAGAAAGAAAAAAAACAAGUAAACACUCAUGCUAACUUGACCUUCUUUGCGAUCUUGGAAUUAGUUAUUGUGAGAGGCAGAAGAGUUUGCGAUUACCUCUCUCUAUGUCUCUCUCUCUCACUCGUUAACAUCAAACUCCUCCUCUCUCGCUAUAUUCGCAAAUUAUUCUCCCUGAAAUAAAUGGAUUGCUGCAAAAGUUUUAUACUCACAUCCGCUGUCAGGAAAAUUUGGCCGCCUGGAUUAUUAAUUAGUUUGACAUCAGCUUCAUGUAAAAAAAUUCUGGCGUUCAUUUUUGGUGGGGGAUUUUUUUUAUAAUAAUCUAGAGAAACAUAAAGGUCGGUAUUCUAAGACACCUUCGCUUCUCACAUCAACUAUUUAUAAAGGUCAAAGAGGGGGUCAGUCAGGUUCUAAUGAGUGUUUCUUUAGGUUCACGGUACAGGAGAAGGGUCACACUACCACCAGGGUCAUAAAACUACUCCUGGAAAUGCCCAAAACUCCUACGAAAGCCUUGUCAAAUAUGUGAACUUGGGCGACGAAAUGUUUAGUAAUACGGGCCAAAGUAUCUCGUGACUUCGGGUUCACUAAAAACAGUGUUAAGUUCUAAUGAGUUUACGUAGUUGUUAUAGUUUGACGUAAGGUGCUAGAGUCUAUACGUUUGAAAAUUAUAUAGCCUACCCUUGAGCGCCUAGAGAAGCAGAGAGCAUUUAUUACCUAACUGAACGGGAACAUCAUAUAGGGACAGUACAUUAACACUACACUAUCAGAGAAAGCUUGAGAAAGAACACUAGGAAAGAUUUUUGUCCUGAAGUAAUAGUGAAAUGAUGACGAUGAUGAUGAUGGUGAUAGUUAAUGAUGGCAAGUAACUAGACCCUUAUAGAAAAAAAUAGUGAGUUAUUAGUGGCAGAGAGAGAAAAGAAACGAACAAACAUUGGGAUCAUUGUCCAACAGAACCUAAUAAUGAGUGAGAUGAUACUGAUGAUGAUAAUAAUAGUGAUAAUAGUUAAUGAUGGCAAGUAACUAGACCUUUAUAGAAAAAAAUAGUGAGUUAUUAGUGGCAGAGAGAGAAAAGAAACAAACAAACAUUGGGAUCAUUGUCCAACAGAACCUAAUAAUGAGUGAGAUGAUAAUGAUGAUGAUAAUAAUAGUGAUAAUAGUUAAUGGUGGCAAGUAAUUAGUGCGUUAUUAGUGGCACAGAGAGGAAAAGAAAUCAUUGGUAAAGAUAUCUGUCCUACCGUACCUAAUGGAGAGAUGAUGAUGAUGAUGAUGAUGAUUAAAGAUGAUGAUAGGGAGUUUAUGGCAAGUAAUCAGACCCGUUUAUAGUGUGUGUAUAUGCGUGUGUUAUUAGUGGCGUCUUCACAGGGCCCGUCUCUACGUAGCUCCAUUAGUAUUCACCGCCCACACCAUUGCUCUUGAGGCCGAGGCGGGAGUGACAUCAACAAAUUUGCAGACCACGCCAAGAUGGGCUGACUAAUUAGAUACUACGCCUCCGAUAUCGAGGUGGAUGUUACAAGGGGGGGACUAAUUAACAACUUAGAGGGUUAAUAAAGAAGUGGCAGGUGUAGUAGUAGUGAUAGUAGUAGUAGUAGUAGUAGUAGUAGUAGUAGUAGUAGUAGUAGUUUGAUGUAGAUAAGUGAAAAUAUAUUGAAGGAAGAGAAAUAGAUAGAUAGAUAGUUACACAUGUAAUAGAUAAGGGGAGAGAGAGAGAGAGAGAGAGAGAGAGAGAGAGAGAGAGAGAGAGAGAGAGAGAGAGAGAGAGAGAGAGAGAGAGAGAGAGAGAGAGAGAGAGAGAGAGAGAGAGA